GGGUAUUUCUAUCCCAUAGAGGCAGCAGCCAUCUUAUGGAAACUCAUAUUAUUAUUAGCUUUGGCUGAUAUAAUUGUUCAUGUGCGACUUACUUUCUUUCUUUCUUUCUUCUUUUUUCUGUUUAAUUUUCAAACUGAUUCAUGUGUCAUGAGUUGCAUGCAUAUUUUCAAUUAUUAGCAUAUGCAUAUAUAUAUGGUUAGGGGAGGACGGUGAUGACAGAAAAUUGCUUUGUUCGCUCGUCGUGCGUAAUGGCAAACUCUGCCUUGCCGACUCUGCUUUACUGUUCUGAGUCCGAGUCCUCUCUUUCUUUAGUUAUUAUGAAGAUGUCCUUUUCCAUUUCUCUUUUCAGUUUAAUCAAGUGCUCGAAUACUUAUUCGUCGUGUGUUCAAUUACUCUGAAAUUCCUGAUUCAUUGCGAUUUUAAGGAUUUAUAAGUAAAUUGAUUAGAGACCUUCACUUGAUAGAUUAACUGUUCUCUUUUCUCAAGCAUAUUAACAGCUCAUUCUUCUUCGUUGUGCCUUUCUUGGUAACGAGAUCCAACGGCAGGUUAUGAGGAGCUUCAAGGCUAACAUUCGGGAAUCAUCUGUGAAGCCCUGCUCAAUCCAUCAUCAAAAGUUUACAGAUUCAGCACAGGAUGCCACACUCCAGUUUCUCUGACUAGCUAUACACCACCAAACUCUAUCGUCCCACAAUUCCUCUGGUUAUCUGUGAAAUCACACCCUACUACAGCAACAUAGCACGGUGCUCACACGGAAGUAACAGCAGCAGUCCCACGAGAAGUUGCAGCUUGAUUUGCUAAAAAUCGGACAACAACACAGGUAAUGUUGUCCGCACUGCCUCUCUGGUAUGCCUCCUGCAGCAAACUCCUUGCCGCUUGCUCAGGAUCCUCGAUUGGUCUGGUCAUUUCAACAGCUUCCUGAGAAAAAAGAAAAAGAAUAUAUAAAGCAUCGGAUGGUGCUAGCAGCAAUGAACAACCCGCUCAUUCUGUCUUCAAAUUGUUUGACAAAAAUUUAACGUUAUAAAGGACAAAUUCCUUCUCUAGUCUA